CAGUAGCCACGGUAAUACGAAGGGUGCAAGCGUUACUCGGAAUUACUGGGCGUAAAGCGUGCGUAGGUGGUGGUUUAAGUCCGUUGUGAAAGCCCUGGGCUCAACCUGGGAAUUGCAGUGGAUACUGGAUCACUAGAGUGUGGUAGAGGACAGUGGAAUUUCCGGUGUAGCGGUGAAAUGCGUAGAGAUCGGAAGGAACAUCUGUGGCGAAGGCGACUAUCUGGGCCAACACUGACACUGAGGCACGAAAGCGUGGGGAGCAAACAGGAUUAGAUACCCCUGUAGUCCCUGUCUCUUAUAC
rnacentral:rRNA from 1 species